rnacentral:rRNA from 1 species
AGCAGUAGCCACGGUAAUACGUAGGUGGCAAGCGUUGUCCGGAAUCAUUGGGCGUAAAGGGCUCGCAGGCGGUUUCUUAAGUCUGAUGUGAAAGCCCCCGGCUCAACCGGGGAGGGUCAUUGGAAACUGGGAAACUUGAGUGCAGAAGAGGAGAGUGGAAUUCCACGUAUAGCGGUGAAAUGCGUAGAGAUGUGGAGGAACACCAGUGGCGAAGGCGACUCUCUGGUCUGUAACUGACGCUGAGGAGCGAAAGCGUGGGGAGCGAACAGGAUUAGAUACCCCGGUAGUCCCUGUCUCUUAUAC